AUGAUACGUAGCCGAACUGAGAGGUUGAUCGGCCACAUUGGGACUGAGACACGGCCCAAACUCCUACGGGAGGCAGCAGUAGGGAAUCUUCCACAAUGGACGCAAGUCUGAUGGAGCAACGCCGCGUGAGUGAAGAAGGCUUUCGGGUCGUAAAACUCUGUUGUUGGAGAAGAAUGGUCGGCAGAGUAACUGUUGUCGGCGUGACGGUAUCCAACCAGAAAGCCACGGCUAACUACGUGCCAGCAGCCGCGGUAAUACGUAGGUGGCAAGCGUUAUCCGGAUUUAUUGGGCGUAAAGCGAGCGCAGGCGGUUUUUUAAGUCUGAUGUGAAAGCCCUCGGCUUAACCGAGGAAGCGCAUCGGAAACUGGGAAACUUGAGUGCAGAAGAGGACAGUGGAACUCCAUGUGUAGCGGUGAAAUGCGUAGAUAUAUGGAAGAACACCAGUGGCGAAGGCGGCUGUCUGGUCUGUAACUGACGCUGAGGCUCGAAAGCAUGGGUAGCGAACAGGAUUAGAUACCCUGGUAGUCCAUGCCGUAAACGAUGAAUGCUAGGUGUUGGAGGGUUUCCGCCCUUCAGUGCCGCAGCUAACGCAUUAAGCAUUCCGCCUGGGGAGUACGACCGCAAGGUUGAAACUCAAAGGAAUUGACGGGGGCCCGCACAAGCGGUGGAGCAUGUGGUUUAAUUCGAAGCAACGCGAAGAACCUUACCAGGUCUUGACAUCUUUUGAUCACCUGAGAGAUCAGGUUUCCCCUUCGGGGGCAAAAUGACAGGUGGUGCAUGGUUGUCGUCAGCUCGUGUCGUGAGAUGUUGGGUUAAGUCCCGCAACGAGCGCAACCCUUAUGACUAGUUGCCAGCAUUCAGUUGGGCACUCUAGUAAGACUGCCGGUGACAAACCGGAGGAAGGUGGGGAUGACGUCAAAUCAUCAUGCCCCUUAUGACCUGGGCUACACACGUGCUACAAUGGAUGGUACAACGAGUUGCGAGACCGCGAGGUCAAGCUAAUCUCUUAAAGCCAUUCUCAGUUCGGACUGUAGGCUGCAACUCGCCUACACGAAGUCGGAAUCGCUAGUAAUCGCGGAUCAGCACGCCGCGGUGAAUACGUUCCCGGGCCUUGUACACACCGCCCGUCACACCAUGAGAGUUUGUAACACCCGAAGCCGGUGGCGUAACCCUUUUAGGGAGCGAGCCGUCUAAGGUGGGACAAAUGAUUAGGGUGAAGUCGUAACAAGGUAGCCGUAGGAGAACCUGCGGCUG
rnacentral:rRNA from 1 species